UGGGGAAUAUUGCACAAUGGGCGCAAGCCUGAUGCAGCCAUGCCGCGUGUAUGAAGAAGGCCUUCGGGUUGUAAAGUACUUUCAGUCGGGAGGAAGGUGUCAAGGUUAAUAACCUUGGCAAUUGACGUUACCGACAGAAGAAGCACCGGCUAACUCCGUGUCAGCAGCCGCGGUAAUACGGAGGGUGCAAGCGUUAAUCGGAAUUACUGGGCGUAAAGCGCACGCAGGCGGUUGAUUGAGUCAGAUGUGAAAUCCCCGGGCUUAACCCGGGAAUUGCAUCUGAUACUGGUCAGCUAGAGUCUUGUAGAGGGGGGUAGAAUUCCAUGUGUAGCGGUGAAAUGCGUAGAGAUGUGGAGGAAUACCGGUGGCGAAGGCGGCCCCCUGGACAAAGACUGACGCUCAGGUGCGAAAGCGUGGGGAGCAAACAGG
rnacentral:rRNA from 1 species